rnacentral:rRNA from 1 species
GACGAACGCUGGCGGCGUGCUUAACACAUGCAAGUCGAACGCUGAAGCUCAGCUUUUGUUGGGUGGAUGAGUGGCGAACGGGUGAGUAACACGUGAGUAACCUGCCCCCUUCUUUGGGAUAACGCCCGGAAACGGGUGCUAAUACUGGAUAUUCACUGGUCUUCGCAUGGGGGUUGGUGGAAGGGGUUUUUCUGGUGGGGGAUGGGCUCGCGGCCUAUCAGCUUGUUGGUGGGGUGAUGGCCUACCAAGGCUUUGACGGGUAGCCGGCCUGAGAGGGUGACCGGUCACAUUGGGACUGAGAUACGGCCCAGACUCCUACGGGAGGCAGCAGUGGGGAAUAUUGCACAAUGGGCGCAAGCCUGAUGCAGCGACGCCGCGUGAGGGAUGGAGGCCUUCGGGUUGUGAACCUCUUUCGCUCAUGGUCAAGCCGCAACAAUGGUUGUGGUGAGGGUAGUGGGUAAAGAAGCGCCGGCUAACUACGUG